UACGUAGGGUGCAAGCGUUAAUCGGAAUUACUGGGCGUAAAGCGUGCGCAGGCGGUGAUGUAAGACAGAUGUGAAAUCCCCGGGCUUAACCUGGGAACUGCACUUGAAACUACGAUGCUGGAGUAUGGCAGAGGGAGGUGGAAUUCCACGUGUAGCGGUGAAAUGCGUAGAGAUGUGGAGGAACACCGAUGGCGAAGGCAGCCCCCUGGGUCAAGACUGACGCUCAUGCACGAAAGCGUGGGGAGCAAACAGG
rnacentral:rRNA from 1 species